rnacentral:rRNA from 1 species
GACAGAGGGUGCAAACGUUGUUCGGAAUUACUGGGCGUAAAGCGCGUGUAGGCGGUUGCCCAAGUCGGGUGUGAAAGCCCCGGGCUCAACCCGGGAAGUGCACUCGAUACUGCAGGGCUUGAGUAUCGGAGAGGUUGGUGGAAUUCUCGGUGUAGAGGUGAAAUUCGUAGAUAUCGAGAGGAACACCGGCGGCGAAGGCGGCCAACUGGACGAUUACUGACGCUGAGACACGAAAGCGUGGGGAGCAAACAGG